rnacentral:tRNA from 1 species
UUUAUUUUUGUAGUUUAAUUAAAAUAUAAUAUUGAAAAUAUUAAGAUAUGCAGUCAAAAAUAUU